rnacentral:rRNA from 1 species
UACGGAAGGAGCAGUGGGGAAUAUUGCACAAUGGGCGCAAGCCUGAUGCAGCCAUGCCGCGUGUAUGAAGAAGGCCUUCGGGUUGUAAAGUACUUUCAGUCGUGAGGAAGGUGUUAAGGUUAAUAACCUUAGCAAUUGACGUUAGCGACAGAAGAAGCACCGGCUAACUCCGUGCCAGCAGCCGCGGUAAUACGGAGGGUGCGAGCGUUAAUCGGAAUUACUGGGCGUAAAGGGCACGCAGGCGGUUAAUUAAGUUGGAUGUGAAAUCCCCGGGCUUAACCUGGGAAUGGCAUUCAAGACUGGUUAGCUAGAGUCUUGUAGAGGGGGUAGAAUUCCAUGUGUAGCGGUGAAAUGCGUAGAGAUGUGGAGGAAUACCGGUGGCGAAGGCGGCCCCUGGACAAAGACUGACGCUCAUGUGCGAAAGCUGGGGAGCAAACAGGGAUUAGAUACC